UACGAAGGGUGCAAGCGUUGUUCGGAAUAACUGGGCGUAAAGGGCGUGUAGGCGGUCUUAUGCGUCAGAUGUGAAAGUCCUGGGCUCAACCUGGGGAUUGCAUUUGAUACGAUAAGACUAGAGGUUAUAAGGGGAGAAUGGAAUUGCUCGUGUAGAAGUGAAAUUCGUAGAUAUGAGCAGGAACACCAAUGGCGAAGGCAAUUCUCUGGCAUUAACCUGACGCUGAGGCGCGAAAGCGUGGGGAGCAAACAGG
rnacentral:rRNA from 1 species